rnacentral:lncRNA from 1 species
AAAUUAAAAUUAAUUAUAUAGAUCACAAUAAAAUGUAAAAUAGAUUUGGACUACAAUAAACUUUUGAAAUAUUCAAAAUUUCCAACAAUCCCCCACAUAUUUCAAAAGUUUAAAUUAAAGAAUUAUAAAUUAGAAUUGUUUUAAAACAUUGGCUGAGUUACUUUUGAGUGUGAUGCAUCAAACUGGUGUAGCAAGCUAUAUGAACCAGUGCUAGAAUGAUAGACUUAACACACAGUGAAAUUGGUGUAGCAAGCUAUAUGAACCAAAGACA